rnacentral:lncRNA from 10 species
GCCCACCCUCUGAGGCACUGGCGAGCUUGGAAGUUCAAAAACAAAAAAAUCCAAGGGCAAGAGUGGUAAUUAGAAAAUGAGCAGGGCUGUCUGUUUGCGUGGGGCUGUCUCCCUGUAAUGAGAACCACCGCUGGGAGCUGUUUAGACAAAACCGACUCAGCGCUCCGGAGCCGCGCGGGCCUCCUAAUGCAAAGGGGGACCCCGUGAAUGUGAAGAUAUUUGGAAAGUCUUCACCACAGAACAUGAUUUCAGGAAUGAUGGAACAAUAAAUGAGAAUCUGGUAUUAAUAAUCUGUGGGUUUUAAAUUUUAUACCAUUCAAAGAUGUGAGGAC